GUUGGUAUGGGUGAAAAGGGAAUCUGGUGAGAAUCCAGAGCGAAGCCGUCACUGUGUUAGGAAGUCUGCAUUUAUGUCACUGAGCAUGCUUGGGAAGAAAAUGUAGAUGUUGAUCGAAGUCAGGAGACCUGCCUAUUCUUCA
rnacentral:ncRNA from 1 species